GACGAACGCUGGCGGCGUGCUUAACACAUGCAAGUCGAACGGUAAGGCCCUUCGGGGUACACGAGUGGCGAACGGGUGAGUAACACGUGGGUGAUCUGCCCUGCACUUCGGGAUAAGACUGGGAAACUGGGUCUAAUACCGGAUAGGACUCCGGACUGCAUGGUCUGGGGUGGAAAGCUUUUGCGGUGUGGGAUGGGCCCGCGGCCUAUCAGCUCGUUGGUGGGGUGACGGCCUACCAAGGCGACGACGGGUAGCCGGCCUGAGAGGGUGACCGGCCACACUGGGACUGAGAUACGGCCCAGACUCCUACGGGAGGCAGCAGUGGGGAAUAUUGCACAAUGGGCGCAAGCCUGAUGCAGCGACGCCGCGUGAGGGAUGACGGCCUUCGGGUUGUAAACCUCUUUCAGCAUCGACGAAGCGAAAGUGACGGUAGGUGCAGAAGAAGGACCGGCCAACUACGUGCCAGCCGCCGCCGUAA
rnacentral:rRNA from 1 species